CUUUUCUAGCCCAGCAGAAUCCUGUUAAUACAGACCCUGUCACAAGCUUUCUGAUGAGCAGAAACCAGAUGUUUGUGUGGGAGCAAAAGGUAUCACAAGGAUCCAAGGGUGCCACUGGGGAGUCAAGAAGAUCAGCCCAGGGCUGAAGCGGCUUUCAGGAGACCAUGACUGUCCUUUUGAGAUACUGAGCCCUGAAUGAAGGGCAAUAUUCAUCUUUCUUCAGGUGGUUUACCACAAAGGGAGAAAGGGAGAAACUGUGUUGUUUGUUUAAGUUUGAAAGAGUGUAUUUCCUGACCAGCUGCCACUGUUUUACUCAGGCCGCGUUUCUUUCAGAGAUGAGCAAAGACAGCAGCCUUUACAUAACACCUGCCACCACUCAGCAGGCCAAAGGCAGAGGGUCUGAAGAGCAGAUGGGUCUGAAGCCCCGACUGGGGUCAUGGAUGUGAGUUCUCAGCUUCAGUCAUGCAUCACAUGGACUCUAAGUGGUGGGUCCCGAACAGAAACAGGCUCCAGCUGUGGCUGUGUUGUCCGAGGAGCGACAAGAAAACUCUAUGUGAUUGUGCAGUGCUUUGACUUAUCAACUUCUUCAGUUUGCAUUUCACCUAAACUGAAGAGAAAAGCAAAAAUAUUUAUAUACAAGCACAGGUAUGCAACUGUACAUUUGUCGGUACAUAUAGACACAUCUAUUCAUGUAUAUGCACAAACACAUUACAGACAUAAAUCUGCAUGUUCAGAAAGUAUGGAUAUCUUAUACUAUGAUCAGACCAGACUACUUCAAAUUUUCAUCCACGCUGUUGUGGAGGAAAGAAACAGAAUUAAACCCGGAAAGAAGUGAA